UAAGAGUGCUUGCUGCUCUUACAGAGCAUCCC
rnacentral:piRNA from 1 species